rnacentral:rRNA from 1 species
UACGUAGGUGGCAAGCGUUGUCCGGAUUUAUUGGGUUUAAAGGGUGCGUAGGCGGCAUUUUAAGUCAGUGGUGAAAUACUUCAGCUCAACUGGAGAGGUGCCAUUGAUACUGGGAUGCUUGAGUACUGAUGAGGUAGGCGGAAUGGACGGUGUAGCGGCGAAAUGCUUAGAUAUCGUCCAGAACACCGAUAGCGAAGGCAGCUUACUAAGGAGUAACUGACGCUGAGGCACGAAAGUGUGGGGAUCAAACAGG